UACAGAGGUCCCAAGCGUUGUUCGGAAUUACUGGGCGUAAAGGGCGCGUAGGCGGCACGGCAAGUCAGAAGUGAAAGGCCUGGGCUCAACCGAGGAACUGCUUUUGAGACUGCCGAGCUAGAGUGCGGAAGGGGCAACCGGAAUUCCCAGUGUAGCGGUGAAAUGCGUAGAUAUUGGGAAGAACACCUGAGGCGAAGGCGGGUUGCUGGGCCGACACUGACGCUGAGGCGCGAAAGCCAGGGGAGCAAACGGG
rnacentral:rRNA from 1 species